rnacentral:misc_RNA from 1 species
GAAAUGCGAUAAGUAAUGUGAAUUGCAGAAUUCAGUGAAUCAUCGAAUCUUUGAACGCACAUUGCGCCCUCUGGUAUUCCGGGGGGCAUGCCUGUUCGAGCGUCAUUACAACCCUCAAGCUCUGCUUGGUAUUAGGCUUCACCUGCUUAAGGUGGGCCGUAAAAUCAGUGGCGGUGCCAUUUGGCUUCAAGCGUAGUAAUUUUCUCGCUUUGGAGGACCGGAUGUUGUACCUGCCAGCAACCAAAUUUUUUUUAUCACAGGUUGACCUCGGAUCAGGUAGGGAUACCCGCUGAACUUAA